GCCGCCGCCGGCCCCUUCCCCGCGCCGCCUGCCGCCAUGGCCCUCCGCAACGACCUGGGCUCCAACAUCAGCGUGCUGAAGACGCUGAACCUGCGGUUCCGCUGCUUCCUGGCCAAGGUCCACGAGCUGGAGCGGCGCAACCGGCAGCUGGAGAAGCAGCUGCAGCAGGCGCUAGAGGAGGGCGGCCGGGCCCGCGGCCCCCCGCGCCGCGACCAAGCGGUGCAGACCGGCCUGGUGGGGCCCAUCCGCCCGCUGGGGCUGGCGCUGGCCGCCGGCCGCCCCGCCGCGCUCUGCGGGCCCGCCCGCCCGCUGGGCUCCCCGGGCUGCCACCCCGGCGCCCCCGCCCAGCCGCCGCCCUUCUCGGCCGCCUCCCGCUUCAUGCCCGGCACCAUCUGGUCCUUCUCGCAGGCCCGCCGGCUGGGCCCGGGGCCGGAGACCACGCUGGUGCAGGGGCCGGGGGUCUCGUGGAUCCACCCGGACGGGGUGGGCGUGCAGAUCGACACCAUCACUCCCGAGAUCCGCGCCCUCUACAACGUGCUGGCCAAGGUGAAGAGAGAGCGCGACGAGUACAAGCGCAGAUGGGAAGAGGAAUACACGGUUCGUGUCCAGCUUCAGGACAGAGUCACAGAGCUGCAGGAGGAAGCCCAGGAGGCUGAAGCAUGCCAGGAGGAACUGGCCAUGAAGGUGGAGCAACUCAAGGCAGAGCUCGUUGUCUUCAAGGGACUGAUGAGCAAUAACAUCACAGAGCUGGACACCAAGAUCCAGGAGAAGGCCAUGAAGGUGGAUAUGGACAUUUGCCGGCGCAUUGACAUCACUGCCAAGCUAUGCGACGUGGCGCAGCAGCGGAACUGCGAGGACAUGAUCAAGAUGUUUCAGAAGCAACUGUCUCUGCACUUGUCUCCCGUUAAGGUCCCAGCCUCGAUGGGGCGGAAGCGGGAGCGGAAGCAGGUCAGCGAUGAAGACACUUCACUGUCAGAGAGUGAUGCCUCCAGAAAGCUCGAUGAGGAAGAAGAGGACGAGACCACAGCCAUGAGUAUCAAUGAGGAAAUGCAGAGGAUGCUGAACCAGCUGAGGGAAUAUGACUUUGAAGAUGACUGUGACAGCCUCACGUGGGAGGAGACGGAAGAGACACUGCUCCUCUGGGAGGACUUCUCCGGAUAUGCCAUUGCAGCUGCAGAGGUGCAGGGGGAGCAGCAGGAUGACAGCCUGGAGAAGGUGAUCAAAGACACAGAGUCAUUGUUCAAGAGCCGUGAGAAGGAGUACCAGGAAACCAUCGACCAAAUAGAGCUGGAGCUGGCCACGGCCAAGAAUGAUAUGAACCGGCACCUGCAUGAGUACAUGGAGAUGUGCAGCAUGAAGCGAGGUCUGGAUGUGCAGAUGGAGACUUGCCGGCGGCUCAUCACCCAGUCUGGGGACAGGAAGUCUCCUGCCUUCACCCCAGCCUCCACCAGCGAGUCAGCCCCCAAUGAGGAGAGUGAGGAGUCAGAUCGCGAUCCCCCCAGCGAUGCUUCCAUCAGAUAAUGAGGAGAGGCCCUGUUCCCUCAGCCCCCCGCUCCUGGCUGAGAGGUGUCUGAGCUGCGGCUGGGAGAGACUGUCAGGGACGUAGAGCCGCUGGUAAACGUUUGUUGCCCAGGCCCACCUCCACCUCGGGGCAUCUGGCAGACUCCCCUGCUACCAGGUGUCUUGCUGAUGGCUAGCAUUUUCUGCCCUUUCUCUGAUGCGGAGAUCUCUGCCUGGCUGGAGGAAUCUGUCUCUCCCCAUGCAUAAUCUAUGGCAUGCAUAUCUUGGCUUCUGAUCUGUCCACGCUGCUUAAGAAAACCACAGGACUGUAGAGAAUAUAUGCUGAAAGAUUUUGAGCAUGAAGUGCAGACGGACCAACAUCUCUGCCUCUAAAAGCCAUUGCUCAGAUGGUGCUGUCAGACACCUGUGUGCCAGGACACAUGGAGGUCCCAGUCCGACACUGUUGAUCAGAAUUCCAUUUGCUGUGAAGCUGAGAUCUCCUCUGGACGUUUCUGCAAGAUGGUGAAUUGUAUUGCUGGUAAUAAGCUCUGUUCUCUACCAGGAUGAAAGCCCAUGAGAUCUUACUGUCAGCAUGUGCAAUGCUGAUUCUUUGCCUCAGCCAUUUCUCAGCAUGGCAAUGACAGCCUAAAGCCUCCAGUGGUAGCUGGAUCAUCUGCCCUGCAUCAGCCUAUCCCCCAGUGGUGGCCCCACAUAUUUGAUACUGGAUAUGAGGAGAUGUGUACUUCUAUUGAUUUAAUUCUACUCUGUGGGCUCUUGUCUGUUCUUUGAGGAAUAUUUAGCCUGUUUUUCUUUGGCAUGAGCUCUGCUGGGAACCGUGGUGCCUAGGAAUUGUUCAGCACCAUGUUGAUUCUUGAUGCCCCAACCUUAUCCCUCUUCCAGGACACCUUGCAGCAGCACUGGCUCAGGAAGCAGUAUCAGAAGAAACUCUGGUGGAGACCCGGGUCUGGGCUGGUUGGUCUUUGUGAACACCUGUAGUCAUCUCCCAGGUGAUCACGUCUCAUUUACCCUCAGACUACAGCUCAUUCAAAACGUUUGGUUGGCCCUGUCUUUCUCAAAGUCUUGGUUCCAGGGGCGUCUUGUCAGUGGAUGAAGGGGCCAUUUUCCUAUCGUGAACCUGGCAGAUAAGUUGAUGAAAUGAAUAUUGGAGGAGCAGGUCAGUUGCUCUUUCCAGCUGAACCGGGAACAUGUUGUUGCUGAGCCUAGUCUGGUCCUUACUGCACCACCACAGCAGACCUCGGAAAGCAGGGGACAAAGUCCCAUCGCAGCAUCCGUACAUUAAUGUGAAUGUUUAUCGCCCAAGUGCAGUCCAAGCAGGAUGUGUCUUGAUGAGUGCAGUCCCAUGGCGCAAGAUAUCUGGCAGUCGCUCUGUCAGCAUCCACCUCAGGACCCUGCAGGUGCGACUGCUGUCUGGUCAGCUACAUGAGCGCCUGCUGAAGACCAUCCUUUUUGGAGUCAUAUCACUGAACUUAUGUCGAGGUCCUCCCUCUGAGUAUGUAGGCGGGCUGGUUCAGCUUCCCUACACUGCAGAACUCCAUGUUGGAGCAGCCUAGGAACACGCUAUGGCUUCUCCCCCUCCAACAUUUGCACUACUGUGUGUAGCUGAGGACAGGCACAACAUUUUUUUUAUCAGCCGUGGGAUUGGCAUAAAAGCCCUGCCUUGAUGCAGGGGUUGGGAUAUAUUCAUUUGUCAGCAUCCUGCCUCCAUCAGGCACCAGGGGACAUUGCCAGCCUUUGAGCUGGAGUGAGAGGCAGUUCUCUGCCUUGGCUCCUGUACUGUAUGAGAUCAGCCUCUUGGCAAGGGCCUUCAGCAGAUGAUGCCAGGCGUUUUGCUGUAAGGCUGAAGUGAAUGCCCCCUGCUGAAGGUGUUUCUGAUCCUGUGACACGCAGAGCAGCUUCUCUUUCCCCUUUCCUAUUUUGUCUGAAGGAUGAAUUCUCAUCUCAAAGAAUCCUGGCUGCCAAGGUGGGCCCACUGAGAGGUCAGGGAGCAUCACCCGCCUUGUGCUUCAUCACGUGGAUGUGGGAUAUUCUUGCAGGCUCUAGAAAGGGUUCAGCUGCCCAACCACAGUACUGCAGGACUGAGCUUUGUCCCUCCCUUUGCUUGUUCCGGAGUCCUAUCUGUUUUAGAUCAAUCUCAGAACAGAAAGAGUCUGAUUUUGUCUGUUCAACUGCAGUCCCACACAUCCCCCCCAGCAUCACUCUGAGGGCUCUUUGUCCCUGCCCCACAUGAGCUUUGUGUGAGUUAGCUUUUUCUGCUUCAGGAUUCCUUAGAUGGCCUGAAUGAGAUGCUGACAGCUGUCACUGGAGCAGCUUGUGAUUCCCUGGAAACCUGUUCAAUAUUCUAUUUAUCUUGUUUUAAGCCAGGAGGGUGGGAGCGAUGAAAGUUGUACAGAAGCUUACUCUUGUUUCUAGAUUUGAACUAGGAGAUUGGCUUUCCUAAGCUGUAUACCUCUGCUACAGAAGCUUAGUCUGUUCUUGAGAAGGCCAGUCUCUCUGUGUUUAGGUGGUGGUGGUUAUCUUCUAAGGGGAGAUCUGUGAGCCAGCUCUGCAGAAGAGCAGGGAGUUAGUGGCAGGCCACCUUUAAAUUCCUGCUGUGAGUCAGCCAGGGUAGAGCUAGACCAAAUGCUGAGACCCCUCCACCGGAGCACUAGCUGUGUCGGUAGCUUUGUGAUUUCCAUCUGCACAUUUGAGUCACCCUAAGAGCUGGCACAGGUGCUGCAGACUUGUGCUGAGGUCUUCUACAGGAAGAGCUCCACUCCUACGUGAAGAGAGGUCAGAAUUAACAUAGAAGACAGUGGAGUGCAGUCUCCUUCGAAAUGCAUCUGUAUGGUGCAUGGAUGGGCUCAUGAAGUCAGCUGACAAACCUCUACUGGUGGGAAUUAAAGCUGGCAAUAAUGGGAAGGCAGCAAGGAGGGCUGAAUGGGCUGGAGGCAGCUUAAGGGGGGUCCAGUCACCAAUGAAAACCUUCUGAAGGAUGUAUGAGACAAUGAGAAAUGUUUCAGAUGUGAAUUUUCUAAACGACUGAGACAUUUUGUCUCAGAUGAGUAAUAAGGAGAAGAUACUCUAGGUCCUCUGGCAGAGGAGGUAUAGAUUUCAUAACCUGGAAAGCAGCCAAAAGAGCUGAGCAAAUGCUAAGGUAACACUAUGAAGAGGAGUCCGAGCAGCCACUAGGAGCUGCAAUGACCAAAUUGAACCAAUGUCACAGCAAAUGAGAAGCAGCAGCAGUUUCAGCUUCUGCAGAAGACUGUGCAUCUGGGCAACGCACAAAAGGAACUGGAAACUCUCAGGACAGGAAGAAAUGUGAUUAACUGGCAUUUUUGAAGUUCCCCAUCACAUUGUAGAACUCCCAGCUCACCAGUGAAGCCCUUUGGUAAAGGAGGAAUAGGCAAGUGAAAGCAUGAGUUGGGGUUGCAAGCUGUGCUAAAAAUCACAUUCCUUCUAGAGCUAAUAGCAAAACAGUAUAAUCUGACACACGUAUUCGUUAAGGCAUUGAAGGGUCUUUUAUUUAAUCCCAAAUCAUGGAAGAAAACACAGUGAUAUAUUAUUUCUUAAGUACCUCUGCUUCAUGUGGAAAGGAAAAUUAUGCUGUCAUGGGAGACUUUGGCUGGGAUUACUGAGAAAUAUGCUAUACCGUGGGGAGCCUCUCAUUGAGUUACAAACGAUGGCAUGCCCAAGUAAGGCAAGGAUUUUAGAUGGCCUUAUGAUAGGUGAAGAUUAAGUUAGAAUUGGUGGUUGCCUAAAGACAAGGGAUUGACAAACAAAUCAAGCCAUUGCCCAGGAGAAAAAUACUGUAAUAGAGAAGUGCAUGAUUAUUAUGUAGCCUUUUCUUAGGAAUUCUCCUAAGGGAAGCAUUAGCAAAGUUGUUUAAAUGGGUCAUCCUUGGAAAGAUGAGAGUUUUUCCAGUUACCCAAAAAGCUGUGAUUUAGUAUGCAUGAGAAGGUAGCUUUCAGUAAAACAUUUCCCCAAGUAACCGGCCAUGUGAUAGAAGUACAUCGCAGAAAAAAAGUAUUAAUAAAAGAAAUAAUUUUUAAAAGACCUUAAUGAAAAUAAACUUUGUAACAGCUGCAGUGACUGUGUGUGAAGGAGGAGGAAUACAGGGAUGACAAAAUAAUUGAGAUGUAUAAAAAAUAGAUAUGCGAGUGGCUGAUGACCUGAAGAAUGAAUAUCCAUAGGUGGAUCGCUAAGGAGAUUAACAAGUUGUUCUAGCUAUAUUUAAAAGAAAAUCGAUCCUAGCAGUAAUAUGAGCCUUUUGCUUGACUGAGAUUAAAAAAAAAAAAAAAA